GGGUUGUGAGGUUAAGCGACUAAGCGUACACGGUGGAUGCCCUGGCAGUCAGAGGCGAUGAAGGACGUGCUAAUCUGCGAUAAGCGUCGGUAAGGUGAUAUGAACCGUUAUAACCGGCGAUUUCCGAAUGGGGAAACCCAGUGUGUUUCGACACACUAUCAUUAACUGAAUCCAUAGGUUAAUGAGGCGAACCGGGGGAACUGAAACAUCUAAGUACCCCGAGGAAAAGAAAUCAACCGAGAUUCCCCCAGUAGCGGCGAGCGAACGGGGAGCAGCCCAGAGCCUGAAUCAGUGUGUGUGUUAGUGGAAGCGUCUGGAAAGGCGCGCGAUACAGGGUGACAGCCCCGUACACAAAAAUGCACAUGCUGUGAGCUCGAUGAGUAGGGCGGGACACGUGGUAUCCUGUCUGAAUAUGGGGGGACCAUCCUCCAAGGCUAAAUACUCCUGACUGACCGAUAGUGAACCAGUACCGUGAGGGAAAGGCGAAAAGAACCCCGGCGAGGGGAGUGAAAAAGAACCUGAAACCGUGUACGUACAAGCAGUGGGAGCACGCUUAGGCGUGUGACUGCGUACCUUUUGUAUAAUGGGUCAGCGACUUAUAUUCUGUAGCAAGGUUAACCGAAUAGGGGAGCCGAAGGGAAACCGAGUCUUAACUGGGCGUUAAGUUGCAGGGUAUAGACCCGAAACCCGGUGAUCUAGCCAUGGGCAGGUUGAAGGUUGGGUAACACUAACUGGAGGACCGAACCGACUAAUGUUGAAAAAUUAGCGGAUGACUUGUGGCUGGGGGUGAAAGGCCAAUCAAACCGGGAGAUAGCUGGUUCUCCCCGAAAGCUAUUUAGGUAGCGCCUCGUGAAUUCAUCUCCGGGGGUAGAGCACUGUUUCGGCAAGGGGGUCAUCCCGACUUACCAACCCGAUGCAAACUGCGAAUACCGGAGAAUGUUAUCACGGGAGACACACGGCGGGUGCUAACGUCCGUCGUGAAGAGGGAAACAACCCAGACCGCCAGCUAAGGUCCCAAAGUCAUGGUUAAGUGGGAAACGAUGUGGGAAGGCCCAGACAGCCAGGAUGUUGGCUUAGAAGCAGCCAUCAUUUAAAGAAAGCGUAAUAGCUCACUGGUCGAGUCGGCCUGCGCGGAAGAUGUAACGGGGCUAAACCAUGCACCGAAGCUGCGGCAGCGACACUAUGUGUUGUUGGGUAGGGGAGCGUUCUGUAAGCCUGUGAAGGUGUGCUGUGAGGCAUGCUGGAGGUAUCAGAAGUGCGAAUGCUGACAUAAGUAACGAUAAAGCGGGUGAAAAGCCCGCUCGCCGGAAGACCAAGGGUUCCUGUCCAACGUUAAUCGGGGCAGGGUGAGUCGACCCCUAAGGCGAGGCCGAAAGGCGUAGUCGAUGGGAAACAGGUUAAUAUUCCUGUACUUGGUGUUACUGCGAAGGGGGGACGGAGAAGGCUAUGUUGGCCGGGCGACGGUUGUCCCGGUUUAAGCGUGUAGGCUGGUUUUCCAGGCAAAUCCGGAAAAUCAAGGCUGAGGCGUGAUGACGAGGCACUACGGUGCUGAAGCAACAAAUGCCCUGCUUCCAGGAAAAGCCUCUAAGCAUCAGGUAACAUCAAAUCGUACCCCAAACCGACACAGGUGGUCAGGUAGAGAAUACCAAGGCGCUUGAGAGAACUCGGGUGAAGGAACUAGGCAAAAUGGUGCCGUAACUUCGGGAGAAGGCACGCUGAUAUGUAGGUGAAGUCCCUCGCGGAUGGAGCUGAAAUCAGUCGAAGAUACCAGCUGGCUGCAACUGUUUAUUAAAAACACAGCACUGUGCAAACACGAAAGUGGACGUAUACGGUGUGACGCCUGCCCGGUGCCGGAAGGUUAAUUGAUGGGGUCAGCGCAAGCGAAGCUCUUGAUCGAAGCCCCGGUAAACGGCGGCCGUAACUAUAACGGUCCUAAGGUAGCGAAAUUCCUUGUCGGGUAAGUUCCGACCUGCACGAAUGGCGUAAUGAUGGCCAGGCUGUCUCCACCCGAGACUCAGUGAAAUUGAACUCGCUGUGAAGAUGCAGUGUACCCGCGGCAAGACGGAAAGACCCCGUGAACCUUUACUAUAGCUUGACACUGAACAUUGAGCCUUGAUGUGUAGGAUAGGUGGGAGGCUUGGAAGUGUGGACGCCAGUCUGCAUGGAGCCGACCUUGAAAUACCACCCUUUAAUGUUUGAUGUUCUAACGUUGACCCGUAAUCCGGGUUGCGGACAGUGUCUGGUGGGUAGUUUGACUGGGGCGGUCUCCUCCUAAAGAGUAACGGAGGAGCACGAAGGUUGGCUAAUCCUGGUCGGACAUCAGGAGGUUAGUGCAAUGGCAUAAGCCAGCUUGACUGCGAGCGUGACGGCGCGAGCAGGUGCGAAAGCAGGUCAUAGUGAUCCGGUGGUUCUGAAUGGAAGGGCCAUCGCUCAACGGAUAAAAGGUACUCCGGGGAUAACAGGCUGAUACCGCCCAAGAGUUCAUAUCGACGGCGGUGUUUGGCACCUCGAUGUCGGCUCAUCACAUCCUGGGGCUGAAGUAGGUCCCAAGGGUAUGGCUGUUCGCCAUUUAAAGUGGUACGCGAGCUGGGUUUAGAACGUCGUGAGACAGUUCGGUCCCUAUCUGCCGUGGGCGCUGGAGAACUGAGGGGGGCUGCUCCUAGUACGAGAGGACCGGAGUGGACGCAUCACUGGUGUUCGGGUUGUCAUGCCAAUGGCACUGCCCGGUAGCUAAAUGCGGAAGAGAUAAGUGCUGAAAGCAUCUAAGCACGAAACUUGCCCCGAGAUGAGUUCUCCCUGACUCCUUGAGAGUCCUGAAGGAACGUUGAAGACGACGACGUUGAUAGGCCGGGUGUGUAAGCGCAGCGAUGCGUUGAGCUAACCGGUACUAAUGAACCGUGAGGCUUAACCUUACAACGCCGAAGCUGUU
rnacentral:rRNA from 1 species